rnacentral:lncRNA from 1 species
AUGCUGGCUCAGAUCGCGAUGACCACCAGCGGAAGAUCUCUGUCGCCGUCCACGCCCCUCUAUGCAGCAGCGGAGCCACUAUCAUCACGCAUCGAGACAACUCCAAAGCAACCGAGAAACACCGACGCAGCUACGCGUUUCGAACAUGAGCCGCCGCACAAGCCCGCGCAAGAAGCCGGCGCCAACACGCCAUUCUCUCCGACCGGCACCACACGGCAGCCUGCAACCCCCACUGUUCGCAACUUUUCCCUCACGUCCGCCACUAAGUUCCAUUUUUUUAAUCUCCGACAUGGUUAA